UACGUAGGGUGCAGGCGUUAAUCGGAAUUACUGGGCGUAAAGCGCACGCAGGUGGCUGAGUCAGUCGAUUGUGAAAGCCCCGGGCUCAACCUGGGAAUUGCAUUCGAGACUGAAUAGCUAGGGUACGGUAGAGGGAAGUGGAAUUUCCGGUGUAGCGGUGAAAUGCGUAGAUAUCGGAAGGAACAUCAGUGGCGAAAGCGACUUCCUGGACCAGUACCGACGUUCAGGCACGAAAGCGUGGGGAGCAAACAGG
rnacentral:rRNA from 1 species